UCCGCUGUGGUCUAGUGGUUAGGAUGUGCGGCUCUCACCCACAAGGCCCGGAUUCGAUUACCAGCAACGGAA
rnacentral:tRNA from 1 species